AUUGAACGCUGGCGGCAUGCCUUACACAUGCAAGUCGAACGGCAGCACGGGUGCUUGCACCUGGUGGCGAGUGGCGAACGGGUGAGUAAUACAUCGGAACAUGUCCUGUCGUGGGGGAUAGCCCGGCGAAAGCCGGAUUAAUACCGCACACGAUCCACGGAUGAAAGCGGGGGACCUCCGGGCCUCGCCCUAUAGGGUUGGCAGAUGGCUGAGUAGCCAGCUGGGGGGGUAAAGGCCUACCAAGGCGACGAUCAGUAGCUGGUCUGAGCGGACGACCAGCCACACUGGGACUGAGACACGGCCCAGACUCCUACGGGAGGCAGCAGUGGGGAAUUUUGGACAAUGGACGAAAGCCUGAUCCAGCAAUGCCGCGUGUGUGAAGAAGGCCUUCGGGUUGUAAAGCACUUUUGUCCGGAAAGAAAUCCUUGACUCUAAUACAGUCGGGGGAUGACGGUACCGGAAGAAUAAGCACCGGCUAACUACGUG
rnacentral:rRNA from 1 species